CCUACGGGCGGCUGCAGUGGGGAAUAUUGGACAAUGGGGGCAACCCUGAUCCAGCCAUGCCGCGUGUGUGAAGAAGGCCCUCGGGUUGUAAAGCACUUUCAGUGAGGAAGAACGCCUGGUGGUUAAUACCCAUCAGGAAAGACAUCACUCACAGAAGAAGCACCGGCUAACUCCGUGCCAGCAGCCGCGGUAAUACGGAGGGGGCGAGCGUUAAUCGGAAUUACUGGGCGUAAAGCGCGCGUAGGUGGCUUGAUAAGCCGGUUGUGAAAGCCCCGGGCUCAACCUGGGAACGGCAUCCGGAACUGUCAAGCUAGAGUGCAGGAGAGGAAGGUAGAAUUCCCGGUGUAGCGGUGAAAUGCGUAGAGAUCGGGAGGAAUACCAGUGGCGAAGGCGGCCUUCUGGACUGACACUGACACUGAGGUGCGAAAGCGUGGGUAGCAAACAGGAUUAGAUACCCCGGUAGUC
rnacentral:rRNA from 1 species